rnacentral:rRNA from 1 species
UACGAGGGGGGCGAGCGUUGUUCGGAAUUACUGGGCGUAAAGCGUGCGCAGGCGGUCUGUUAAGACCGAUGUGAAAUCCCCGGGCUUAACCUGGGAACUGCAUUGGUGACUGGCAGGCUUUGAGUGUGGCAGAGGGGGGUAGAAUUCCACGUGUAGCAGUGAAAUGCGUAGAGAUGUGGAGGAAUACCGAUGGCGAAGGCAGCCCCCUGGGCCAACACUGACGCUCAUGCACGAAAGCGUGGGGAGCAAACAGG